rnacentral:rRNA from 1 species
UGGGGAAUCUUGCACAAUGGGGGCAACCCUGAUGCAGCGACGCCGCGUGAGCGAUGAAGCCCUUCGGGGCGUAAAGCUCUUUCGACCGGAACGAUAAUGACGGUACCGGGAGAAGAAGCUGCGGCUAACUACGUGCCAGCAGCCGCGGUAAUACGAAGGGUGCAAGCGUUACUCGGAAUUACUGGGCGUAAAGCGUGCGUAGGUGGUUGUUUAAGUCUGAUGUGAAAGCCCUGGGCUCAACCUGGGAAUGGCAUUGGAAACUGGGCAGCUAGAGUGCGGUAGAGGGUAGUGGAAUUCCCGGUGUAGCAGUGAAAUGCGUAGAGAUCGGGAGGAACAUCUGUGGCGAAGGCGACUGCCUGGACCAGCACUGACACUGAGGCACGAAAGCGUGGGGAGCAAACA